rnacentral:rRNA from 1 species
UACAGGGGGUGCAAGCGUUGUCCGGAAUGAUUGGGCGUAAAGCAUCUGUAGGUGGUUUCUAAAGUCAACUGUUAAAUCCCAGAGCUCAACUUUGGACAAGCAGUUGAGUACUUAGGGACUCGAGUAUGGUAGGGGUAGAGGGAAUUCCUAGUGGAGCGGUGAAAUGCACAGAGAUUAGGAAGAACACCGGUGGCGAAAGCGCUCUACUGGGCCAUGACUGACACUGAGAGAUGAAAGUUAGGGGAGCGAAAAGG